AUUAUUGUGGACAAUAAUAAUAAUAAUAAUAAUAAUAAUAAUAAUAAUAGGCAUGGUGUUGUAUCUCCACAGUGUUGAACAGUUUAACCCACUGAUGAACAUCAGCUGUAACACCAGUCUGGAACAGGCCACAUGCUCACAGGCGGUGACGGGACUGACAGCGCAGGACCUGGCCAGUUUUCUCACCUGUUCACUGUCCAGCAAUACUACCUACUACAAGGAGACGUGGAAGCUCCUCUUCACUAAACUGGACGGAGUUCUGGACAACGCCCUCAGGAUCUUCUCUAGCAGAGCGCUGCCCUGGCCAGUCAACAACCCCUCAGUGUCGGAGAUGCUGGAUGCAGUUGCUGAUGUUCGUCUGCAGCAAUUCAGUCCUGACCAAUGGGAGAACGUGUCUGUAAUAGCCAACCUGUUCGAUAACGUCCUGAAGCCGCUCUUACCCUUCGCUUCAGCAGAUCUGCUCUACUGCUUCAGCAGCAAGAACUUCAGCUGCAACACCUACCACCUCCUGUUGAAGGAGUUUAGUGAUCAGAUGUUCCUCCUGGAUCAGAUGGAGAAGCUAAGAGUUCUGAAAGGCUUCAUCCUGCCUUACCUCACCAAGAACAGCACAGAUGUGGGCUGUGUGUUCAGCACUAACGGCAGUUCUGAUUGGCUGCUGAAGAACUUUGGGGCAUUUUCUGAACUUCUGGCCGUCAGAGAUCUGAUCACCAUCAACCCUCUCUUUGACCCGAUGCUCGUUCUAUCGUCCCUCACUCCACUACAAACAGCAGAGCUGAUGGUGGAGAAUCUUCCUGGGCUUCCAGAGAAAUCCGACACCAUCAACACAGUGUUCGACUUCCUGCGUUCCUCACCCUGGAAACUUAUUCAAGUCAUACAAGAGCUUCUGAUGUUCUCAAACAAGGGUAUGAUCCCCUGCAACUCCCACGCUGUGAUAUCCAACAGGCUGUUCUGGGCUCUAACCUUCAUUCCACAGGAAUUAGAAUACCAGUUUUCAGCAUUAGCGGAUCAGCUGAAGCUCUCUGCUCCUCAAGGAUGUGUACUAACUCCAUUUCCUACAUGCGUCAUCACACACGUUAAUGAGACGCAGCUCUGUGAGGGAUUCAACAGAUUUUCCAGUGAGCAGCUUUUGCAGGACCUUCAUAACGGUUCCUGUUCCAUCAGUCUACAGAACUAUGCCUGCUCUCAGCUAUACGGGUUCAGCAGUUCAGACCUGGCAUUACUACUGAGCUGCACCGUCAACAGCACUGAGUACCCAAAUGAGGUCUGGAAGCUUCUGUUCUACAAAGCUUAUCCCAUACUGGACCAAGCCCUGCUCCUCUUCUCCAACAUGACCGGCAAUAAGCCUCUACCGAGGAGCCCAGCUGUAGCUAAUGUCCUGGGCAUAAUUGCAGAAGUUCAGCUGGACAGGUUUACUCCUGUUCAAUGGAAUGACGGUGCUUUAAUCAGCACAAUCUUUGGAAACACCCUGAGGCCAUAUCUAUCUUCAGUACGUUACAUCUUCCUCCAGUGCCUUGUGGGGAAAAAUCUCAGCUGCCCAACGUUCCAGAUAAUUGUUCAGGAGUUCAGUCAGUUUUUCAGCUAUAUGGACGCGCCUACCGUACUCAGCGAGUUCUUCCUGCCCGUCCUGCUCAUUAACUCAGACAUGGGCUGUGUGUCCAGCACUAACGGCAGUUCUGAUUGGCUGGUGAAGAACUUUGGGGCGUUUUCUGAGCUAAUGACCGUCAGAGAUCUGAUAAACAUCAACCUUCUCUUUGACCCGCUUCUGGCUCUGUCCCAGCUUAGUCCCUCUCAGGUAGCUCAGGUGAUGCUGAUGGACGUUCCUGGUCACUCCACAGACGAGGUCAUCAACUCUGUGUUUGAUUUCCUGGUUGAAUCUCCGGAAACUCAUAGAAUGCCUGCAGUUCUGAACGCCCUCACCAGUUCCACUGUAAAUACACACUUUUACACACCUCCACACGCCUUUACACACCUCCACACACCUCUACACACCUUUACACACCUCCACACACCUUUACACACCU
rnacentral:lncRNA from 1 species